rnacentral:rRNA from 1 species
GGGCCCGCACAAGCGGUGGAGUAUGUGGUUUAAUUCGAUGCAACGCGAAGAACCUUACCAGGGUUUGACAUCCUGCGAAUCUCUUGGAAACGAGAGAGUGCCUUCGGGAACGCAGUGACAGGUGGUGCAUGGCUGUCGUCAGCUCGUGUCGUGAGAUGUUGGGUUAAGUCCCGCAACGAGCGCAACCCACGUCUUUAGUUGCCAGCAUUUAGUUGGGCACUCUAGAGAGACCGCCGGUGAUAAACCGGAGGAAGGUGUGGAUGACGUCAAAUCAUCACGGCCCUUACGUCCUGGGCUACACACGUGCUACAAUGGUGGGGACAGAGAGCAGCCACUUCGCGAGGAGGAGCGAAUCUUCAAACCCCAUCACAGUUCGGAUCGCAGUCUGCAACUCGACUGCGUGAAGCUGGAAUCGCUAGUAAUCG